rnacentral:lncRNA from 1 species
CGACUCAAGUAUUUAUUCAUUAGGCUCCGAGGAGCGAGAUAUUACAAACAUAGGUCUCAUGACCCAACAUUCAGAGCAUACAAAUCAAAACACAAGCGGAAGCUAUCAUGUCUGAGUACAGACAUCUAUAAAUGAAAAAAGGCUGAGAAGCCUGACUGUCUACCAGAUCCUGCCGAGGGCACAAGAUCGUAGCUGAGGUAACAAGCUAAACGUCGAAGUCCACGCGGAAUUACUAGUGAGACUGAAGUCUCUCUGCAAAAACAUAAAAUAGGCAAACGUGAGUAUAAAUGUACCCAUCAAGACUUACAUCAGAACUAACUACAUAUGCCUCAUUAUCAACAAAGGGAUGGUGGGGUUUAACUGCAGCAAGCCAGCUUUGACUCGGUGGCUAUCCUGAACUAUGACUGCAAGUAACUCUUUUGAGGUGGCGCACACGAGUCCACAUAUUCACCAUAUCAAUACACCACUAUGGAUCCGCUCCCGUCUCCCUACGAGAACGCCAUCCAUAGCACUCACGCUUAUCUUGCGUAUUUUAGGGUAUCCACUUUCACUUGUCUAUGAACUGAUAUAAGCAACCCAGAAGUCCUUUUCCGCGGACACGGCUAUUCGAAUAGAUAAUGUUAACCCUGCAGAGGUGUACUUCUUCACGCACGCUCUCACCACUUACCGCCGUUUACACGACAUGUACUCGGCAACCUUCAAGCGGAAGCCCAACGUGGGUGUUGGCCACGGCCUACCUAAACACUCAAGUCUCUAGUCGAGGUUUAUCGCCUAUUCGGGUUCCAUCCAUGAGGAGAUCCGACCGGGGUUUUGCUCACAGCCCCAAACGAUGUGAACAGGGUUCCCGAGACACCAAACGGGCGCCCGGUAUACCCGGCCACGUGCCUACCGCAUCACAGCCCACCCCUCCGGUCAGCGCUACCCACGGCCUCCAGCAUACUACAAACACCAGAAACUACUUGCAACUCCUGGACAGAGAACAAGGGUGAUUAAGAAGCCGAGAGGGUCCAUUGGUUUCGGGCCCAAUGCGUGGUAGUAGCUAAAUCAUGGAUCACAAACACAGAACUCAGUUCCUGAGGACGGCUACAAUGAGACAACCCACCAUGUACUCCUACAUGGCCUCUCACCGCUACCUUUACCAAAUCGUGUUCACACACUUAGCUCACACACGGUAGGACAUGUUCACACACCUCUAAUUCCCCCAAUGAAUCAGACCUGACUCAACUCUAAGCAGUAGCAGGCAUGACAAACAAGCAUGAAUAAGUAGGCACAAUAGGGCUCAAACAACUCCUACACAUGCUAGUGGGUUUCAUCUAUUUACUGUGGAAUGACAGGUCAUGCAAAGGAUAAAGGGGUUCAGCUACCGCAGCAAAUAACAUUUGAAUCGUUGUUGUCCUAAUGCAGUAAAAGAUAGCAGGAGCGAGAGAGUGGGAUUAUAUCGGAAUGAACAAGGGGGUUUUGCUUGCCUGACACUUCUGAAGAUAACAUUGAGUCUUCAUCAGUGUCAACGAUCAAAUCAUUGGUACAACAUCUACCGAGGGGGAAUAACACCAGCAAACACAGAAGAAACACGAUCAAUGCAAUGCACAGUAUGAUGCAUGCUAUGACAUGGCAAUAUGAAUGUGUUUUGGGCUAAUGCAUCUAGCAACAAGUUAAAUGGGGUUGGUUUGAACACUAGGUUCAAAUUCAAACUCCAUAUGUGAGAGUUUAAAUGCCAUUUAAUUGAUUUGACCUGAUCAGCAGGUAUAAGUUGUUCUAACAUGCAUGAAAAUGGUACAGAUGGAUAGAUUGGAUUUUUCUGAUCAUUUUUCAUAUAUAACUUGUUUGAUUUGGAGCUACGGUUGAUUUACUAUGAAUUUUAGAAGUUUUAGCUAUUUUCUGAAAUUUUCCGAAUUACUCUAAAUCCAGAAAAUUAUUAACUGCGUCAGCAUGACAUCAGCACUACGUCAGCAGGUCAACGGGGCUAGUCCAGGUCAAACCUGACGUGUGGGGUCCACUCGUCAGUGACACAACUAACUAACCGUGUUAACUAGUGUUAGGUUAAGUACUAAUCUAGGUUAAUUAGCACUAACUAAUCCUAACUAAUAACUAACAGGGAUGGGUCCACAUGUCAGCGACUUAGUGGGUUAACUAAAAGUUAGUUAGCGCUAAGCUAAAAUUAGCAGGGCUCUGGGCCCACCUGUCAGUGACCCAAGGGUUAAUUAGCAGGGUCAUUAGCCCCUAACGACGGCGCCACGUCAGCACCUCGGAGACCAGCCGACGACAACCACAGAACACGGCGGGGGCACGCCGGACUUGCGCUAGGGGUGUCGGAUUGGCGCGCUGAGGGCACCAGGGCAUAGCCCUCGCUCUUGCGCAUCCAGAGAGCCAAAUGGGAGGGGCUGGGGUGGAUCGAGCUCGCCGGAGUCGAGCUCGUGGCGGCGGCCGGAGUUCGGUGGCGUGCGGGUUUGAUGCUACGGAGCACGGUAGGGGCUGCAGGCGGGUGUGUUCGGCUCCUGGGGCUGCAACGAACACGCGGAUGAGCUCGGACGCGGGUGGCAGCAGUUGUGGCCGCGGCGGCGAUGAGGUACGGUGCCGGCGAGCUUCGGCGUCCGCGCAACUAUGGCCUAGAGGAGGCGGUGAGCAACGGGGUUCGGGGAAGGAGGAAGAGAAGCUCACCGCAAGGUCGGAGAGAAGCUCGGCGGGCUCGGGGGCGUCCUGCGUGCAGCGAAUCGACAGCGGUGGUGGUCGGAGCCCGAGGAGGAAGAAGAUGGCGUGGUCGGCGUUCGAGGGCGCCCGGCGUCGCGUGAAUCAACGAGGAGGCGUAGACGACGGAGGCAGAACUCAUGGGCACGGCGAGGGGUCGAGGGGGAGGGAGUGGCCGCGGCUAUGGCGAACGGCGGCGACGGACCCGUUCGGACAUGGGGGAGGGAAGGACGAGGGGGAGAGCAGAGGAGGGGAGAGUGGUGUCCAGGGGUCGGGGCGGUGCCGCAGAGGCGCUUCGAGGCGUCGCGCUGGCGCGGGCGACGGCAGGCAGGCAGGGUGGUGGCGUGGCGAGCUCGGCGACGUCGCGGUUUCCCUCCUCUGCCUACUGGCACGAGGAGGAAGGCGACAGGGAGGAGGAGGUGGGCUGGGCUGCUGGAGGAGCUGGGCCAGGUAAGUGGCCCAGGUGGGCUUCCUCUCUCUCUCUCUCUUUUCUUGUUUCAGUUUUCUAUUUUUUCAGUUUUGUUUUGAUUUAGUAAAAAUACUAAACCAUUUGAAUAAAUGCUGGAAAUAAUUGUGGGCACUUAUGAAAUUAUUUGUAACAACCCUCAACCAUUAUGAAUAUUAUUUGGGCAAUUAAAAUAUUUAUAGGAAUUAAAUGCCCAAAUGCAAAUACUUAAUGGAUUAAUUCAAAAAUCCAGAGUGACCUAGAAAAUGUGCACCAUUUUUGGUAGAGGUUGUAAACCAAUUCAAAAAUGAUGAACUUUUCUGAAAAGCAUUCUGGGUUCAUUGAAAACAAUUAUGGUUGACCCUAUUUGAUUUUAAUUUUGGUGCUAGGGUUUGUCAUUCCCAUUUCAGGUUUCUUUCAAAAAUAAACAUGGUGCACACAUGAAGCUAGCCUAGAGCAUGGCUAGAAGCUAGGGAUGUGACACCGGCCCAGCCAUGCCGCAAUGCUGAACUGGACGUCUGACAAAGUUUUGGCUGAUACCACGACGUCGAGGUCCAUAACUAUUCUCGCGUGGUGGUUAGUGCGUAAAGGCCAAAGACUAACUCAGAACAAAUACCCAAACCUGUUAGUGCAUUAUUAAAAGGAGUGACGGCUGUCGGGACAAGUCCGGAGCUAUCACCCCUCCUGGGUGAUACCGCUAAACAGCCAGCCGUCACUGUCACAUCGCACGGGUGCUCUCCGGGCCCGCCCGGCCUUCACAACGGUCUCCAUUAAAGUCAAGGUAACUGUGUGUCCAGACAUCAAGGGGGAAACCCAAGGAAUCACCCUCGGAGGAUUCCACUCGAUGUAAUCAUCAAGGUGAACGUAAGAGGGACCACCCUCGAGGUUCACACUUGAGGUGUUGAACGACAGAGCCGUAUCGGAAAUGGUGAAAGAGGAACCACCCUCGAUGACCACACCGAAUAGCUACACUACAGAAUUAUCAUCAGGAGUGCAUUAAGAGGGAUCACCCUCGACACUCGAUAGUAGCUCUGCAGAGUCGAGCAACCAAAGGGGCGUGAUGUGAUGUGAGGUGUCAGGCUCUGGUCAUCGAUCACGUUGAUCGAGUCGUCGAUGAUGAAGCAGGGGCAACAAGGACAAGGUGGGGUCACUGACGGAUAACUAGCCAACAUAUACUAAGCAGUUUAGGGUAAGCAGGUAGGUAACAAUAGGAGGUACAAAAGCAGGCUAUGCAUCAGAAUAGGAGCAAACAAUAAUAGUAGCAAAAUCUAAUGCAAGCAUGAGAGUAUAGAAUGGGCAAUAUCGGGAUGAUCAAAGGGGAGGCUUGCCUGGUUGCUCAGACAAGAAGAAGGGGUCGUCGUCGACGUAGUUGAUCACAGCGGCAUCAACGGCGGUCUCGGGGUCUACCGGAGAAAAGAGGGGGAAGAAACAGUAAAUACAGGCAAACAUAUGCACAACAUGAUUAUAAGCGGGGCUAGAGGUGUUCUAACGCAGAGCUAGGCUCUACUGGCGAAGGGAGAAACAUCCGGGAAAGUUUUCCUGGUCCCGGACGUCAGUCAGACAGAUGAACCGGAGGGGAAACGUUGCAUGUUUGCUAUGCCAGGGAUGUGUGGCGGGCGAACAGACCGCGUAUUCGGAUUCGUCUCGUCGUUCUGAGCAACUUUCAUGUAGAAAACUUUUUCAUCCGAGCUACGGUUUAAUUUCUAUUAAUUUUCAAAGAUUUAAACAAUUUCGGCAUUUAUUUUACUUCGCAAAUAAACAUAAAAUACCAAGUGUACCAGCCAUGUGCUAGCCACAGAGGCUGACUGGUGGGGUCCAGGGGGUGUCCAGUCAGCAGUUGACCAGUCAACUAUUGACUAGUCAACAGGGUUAAAUGGGGCCACAUGUCAUUUGCUCUAAAGAGUAAACUAGUACUAAAAUACUUCAAAACCAAAUUAGUCCUAAUUAACACAAGGGCCGGCCACGCACGGAAGUGGGCAGUGGCCAAGCUGGCCACACACACCACACACAGCACGCAACACACAAUUCUGUUUUCUAUUAACAUAAGAUAGCGUUUUGUGAUUUUCACAGGAAUUAAUCCAUGCAUCAAAUUGAUUUGGUCCAAUGGAAACAUUUUAGCUUUGACAAGUGUUCUACCUAGUAAAAUUAUUUUUUCUCCUGUUAACCGUGGUUUUGCCGCAGUUUAGGGGGUGUCCAAAGGGUUAGUCAGUGUAAAAUUUGAAAAGCUAGCUAGCACUAGCUACAGUACUAGCAUCAGUACAGCAAGUAGCCGCGGGAGCAAGCGGGCGGGAGCGCUGCAGGCGUGCGAGGCGCAGCAGCAGCCAUAAGUAGAGCAGCGGUAGCACACGGCGACGGCGACGUGCAGCGCGGCACGGCCGCGUGCGGCAGCGAUGGAUGCGGUGCGCGCCACGGAGCAGAGCAGGUGCGGUAGCGGCGUCAUCAGGCAGCUGCAGCUGCUGUAGGCAGCAGCGCAGCACGCAGCUGCGGGCGGUAGGGCCACUCAUGGGCGUCGCCGGAGCGGGGCGCAGGCGCAGUCGGGCAGGGAGGUGUGGGGCAUGGUCGGGCUGGGCGCGAUGCGGGCGUGGACGCGGACGGUGUGGUCGGGGCCGCGGGCGAGCAGGGGCCGCGGGCGAGGUGAGUGCGGCCCGGACGCAGUCACGGCGGCAAGACAGUGAGUAGUGGGCCACGGCGCAGCGCAGCGAGCGGGUGCGCGGGAGGCGAGGAGCACGAGGCCGUGCUCAUGGACGAGCCUGGCCGGCUAUGGCUGCGGUGACGAGGGGAAGCAACGACGGCGAGCUCGGCUACGCGGCGUCUACCACUUCGGGCGACUGAAGACGACGCCAAGGGAGGGAAGGGAGCGGGAGCUCACCGGGCGGCUCACGGAGGCCGGCGUCAGAUUAGUAGCUGCAGGGGUGGCCGGAGGUGAGGAAGGUCGACGGCGAGUUCGUGGUGGCCGACGGAGAAGAAGAAGCAGACGGCUUGGUGGCUGCUCCCCGGCUCGUCGGCUCGGUGUAGUCGACGCAGUCGUGGGUGAUGGGGUCCGUGGACGCCUCGGAGACGGACGGCGACGACGGUCGCCGCGGUGGUCGACGGUGGCGGCCACAACAACACUUGUCGAUGGCGGAUCUGGAGAGGGAGGUGGAGCAGGAGGGAGAGGAUGGCAGAAUUUGGAGGAUGGUGGAGUGGGUGAGUGGGGAGGCAGGAAGAAG